UUCUGCGAAAUAUCAUCCAUUUUUUUUCAAGAGAUACGACUAGUCGAAGAGAUUAUUACGUCAGUGUAAAGAAGUUCUUAUUAUAAUUCUAUUAUAGCCGGUGUUGGUUUUUAAAAUGAAGAUGAAAAAUGGCGUACAUUUUAUCGUUCUUGUUGGGAUUCGUUAAAACGAAGUUCUCAUUUUUUGUUUUACUUUAUGAAAUACCUCGUAAAUCAAUCUCAAUGAAACGAGGUAUUAAAAAUGUUUUUUUAUUAUUCUUCUGUACGAUUAAUUUUUGCUUCGUAAUUCCCGUAAUAAUAAUAAUUAUUACUAUUAUUAUCAUUAUCGUUUUAGUCGAACGAUUUGAACUUUGCACGAGAGAACGAUGAGCAUUAUUUUGCGUCAUCUUUUUUGAUACCAUUCGAAUAUAAUCUGACACGGAUUAUAUAUAUAUAUAUAUAUACAUAUACACAUACAAUGAGUAUCGUUCGAAACAGUACGUAUAAAUAGAGUACGAGCAAAUAUAGCGAGGUUUCAAAUAGACAAAAUACGUGGUCACGUAAUCGACGCCUACACCGACCGCCAUAUUAAAUAAAUUAAAGAAGAAUUAAUCUUCCAUGAAGAAUAUAUAUAAAUACGUGAAGACUACGAGCUUUGUUUGGCCCGUUUGAUCGUCAAGGCUGUUCUAACGUGACGCAAUCUCCAACAAGGUCACAUUCCUGUCGUAUGGGUUGGACAAUAAGGAAAAAAGAAAGAAAAAAAGGAGAAAAGAGAUGAAAAAAAAAAGAAAGAAAUAUAAGAAAUUAAAAUAAUGACCAACUGA